GAGAGAGAGAGAGAGAGAGAGAGAGAGAGAGAGAGAGAGAGAGAGAGUAAGAGCGAGGAGAGAAAGAGAGAGUGGGGUGAGAGAGAGAGACAGAGAGAGAGAGAAUAGUCUGCAUGUUCAUUCACAAGCCUCUCAUCACUGUCAACAUGUUGUAUUGUGUGUUAGUGUCGUUUCUCCUGACCACCAAAUCAACAUUUGGAGUAAACAUUCUACAACAUCCUCCAAAUCUUCUUUCAAAAGAGGGAGAAUCGGGGACUCUAGAAUGUGCACACGAUGACGCAGAGUUCCAUAGAAUGUUCUGGUACAAACAGAACACCAACGGAAACAUGGAGCUGGUGGCUUAUUCUAUGGGGAAGAGUGUGGCGGACGUAGAGCCCAUCUUUGACAAGGCAAAUUACAUCAUGAUCCGCGACGAGCAGUUAAAGUCCUCUCUGCAGAUUAGGAAUGUGAAGUCUGGAGACUCUGCUGUGUAUUAUUGCGCUGCCAGCUCAGCACACUGACUCAGCUAGCUUCGCUGCUCUACAACAACCUAUACCAGCCAGGGAGGAUAGGAGGAGA